GGUUAUACAGUUCUUGUCUAUAACGGUGAAGAGCAGGCAAGAAGAAAUAGUUAGUCAAGCUGUUAGCUAACUCUGCUGAAAGAAUAAAUAGCAAAGAACCAAAUGCCGUGAUCCCAGGGACCACUCUAGGUCUGCAUUUCUGCCUUCAUUUUCAAACCAUUAAAUGCCAGAGGAAAAUGUACUUUCAGUGCCAGAAGAGAAAUGGGAGAAGAGAGUUUCACAACAGAGCUGUCAGUUAAGUUUUAUACUGCGGGACUCUUAUCUCCUGAUCAAGCUCUACACUUCUAUGUUGGGGAAAACUAUGGCUUCUACAGAGGAAGGGACAGAAGAUACACUGAAAUGAAGGACUCAAGCAUCAGUUCCUACAUAUGCUGGAAGUGGUCUAGGUUGCUCCAGAACCGCCUGGGGCUUUGUACAUGACUUUCAAAAUGGAUAGCUUAACUCAGUUUAACCUGUCUUCUAU